rnacentral:rRNA from 1 species
GAUGAACGCUAGCUACAGGCUUAACACAUGCAAGUCGCGGGGCAGCAUGGGGGUUGCUUGCAAUCCCCGAUGGCGACCGGCGCACGGGUGAGUAACGCGUAUCCAACCUGCCCUUCACCACGGGAUAACCCGGCGAAAGUCGGACUAAUACCGUAUGUUGUCCAUUGACGGCAUCCGAUUUGGACGAAAGGUUUGGCGGUGAAGGAUGGGGAUGCGUCCGAUUAGCUGGACGGCGGGGUGACGGCCCACGGUGGCGACGAUCGGUAGGGGUUCUGAGAGGAAGGUCCCCCACACUGGAACUGAGACACGGUCCAGACUCCUACGGGAGGCAGCAGUGAGGAAUAUUGGUCAAUGGGCGUAAGCCUGAACCAGCCAAGUAGCGUGCAGGAUGACGGCCCUAUGGGUUGUAAACUGCUUUUAUGCGGGGAUAAAGUGGCCCACGUGUGGGUUUUUGCAGGUACCGCAUGAAUAAGGACCGGCUAAUUCCGUG